GCAUUAUAGUAAGGUGUUUGCUUGAAUAUACGUUGACUCUAGGUACACGGCAAACAUCACUAUAUCUCAUUAAACGUACUUGUAACUCCGUGCACACGUGACUCCACUCUGACCUGUCUAUUGGUUCCCAUGGUUAUUACCCGAGUCCCGGUAUGGUAUCGAGCGAGAGACGCCGGGUUAUAACACCUCCUCCUAAAUAUUCAGAUAUUUACGCUAAUCCUGCCGAGAACACGAUUGAUCUGCCCUCAUAUGAGUGGGAAACAUUCGAACUACCAUACCUUUGCCAUUUUGGGAGCGAAAGUAUACCUGUGUACUGUGUGCGUUGUCACAGAAACAUUCACACAUAUGUGACAUACGACAGUGGUUUUACCACUUGGUUAUCUUGCACUGUUCUGGCACUUAGUGGGUGUGUAUUCGGGUGCUGCCUGAUUCCUUUCUUCAUGAAGGAAACUAAAGACGCUACUCACAUGUGUCCUAACUGUCACUUUCUAUUGGGACAUUUCAUUCGGGACUGACUGAUAUGUAGGGGACUAAAUGUUUGAUCAAAGUCUUGUGCAUCUUGUACAUCUGUAAAAACGAGUGUGUUUCUUCAUCGGUCGAUUGAAAAGUCGUUUAAAAAGCCAGUCGGCUAACACCACAUUUGGUAUAGUUGUGAAAUUAUUUGUUUUGCUGAUUAGAUAAUAACGCUUACAGGAUGUUUAAUUUAUGUUAUUUCGGGCGGGGACUCCUCUUGACAUGGAAUUGUUGAUCUUAAAACGUAUGAAAUUUGCAGUAGAGAUGAGGGUAAACUAAUAGUUCACUGAAAUACCAAAUCGUUCUUAAUAACCUGUAUUGACUAUUGAGAUGGCACAUGGAUGGUAACGUAUUACACAUUCAACAUUGAUCAUGUUUACAAGUUCAAAAUUAUUUGUUUA